rnacentral:rRNA from 1 species
UACGUAGGGAGCGAGCGUUGUCCGGAAUUACUGGGUGUAAAGGGAGUGUAGGCGGGACAGUAAGUCAGGUGUGAAAUUUAUGGGCUCAACCCAUAACCUGCAUUUGAAACUACUGUUCUUGAGUGAAGUAGAGGUUGGCGGAAUUCCUAGUGUAGCGGUGAAAUGCGUAGAUAUUAGGAGGAACAUCAGUGGCGAAGGCGGCCAACUGGGCUUUUACUGACGCUGAGGCUCGAAAGCGUGGGGAGCAAACAGGAUUAGAUACCCUGGUAGUCCACGCUGUAAACGAUGAUUACUAGGUGUGGGGGGACUGACCCCUUCCGUGCCGCAGUUAACACAAUAAGUAAUCCACCUGGGGAGUACGGCCGCAAGGUUGAA